rnacentral:rRNA from 1 species
UAAUCGCAGAUCAGAAUGCUGCGGUGAAUGCGUUCCCGGGUCUUGUACACACCGCCCGUCACACCACGGAAGUUGGGGCGCCCGAAGCCACUUAGCUAACCCAUUUGGGAAGCGAGUGUCGAAGGUGAAAUCAAUAACUGGGGUGAAGUCGUAACAAGGUAAC